rnacentral:lncRNA from 1 species
AUCAAUGUAAUAGGCCAAUUUUAGUUUGGCCCGAUUUAUAAAAAUAAACCAAAUGAGUAAAAAUCCAAGAUUUAUUAACAGUCCAUUUACAUAAAAAAGCCCAAAUUUUGUAGGCCCAAAACUAAAAAACCCUAGCCCAAAGAAUAGCCCAUAGCUUGAACACUCUCAGCCAAGGAAACCCUAGGCACCGCAGCCUCCAUGUGCGUCCUCGGCGCGCGCUCCGCUCGAGGGACGGCUCCCCUGACACUGCUUGCACCAAAAUGGCAAGCUUCUGCCCCAUUGACCCCCUAAGCCUGCAAAACAGAAACAAAAAGGAAAGCAAAGAAGUAGAAGCAAAGCAAAACAGUAGACUAAAUCUUUGCAUUCGACUAUAAGAGAGCCUCGAACAAACAAUUUUUUUUACGUGCACAUAGCAAUCAAAGAAAAACAAAAAAGAAAUUUCAAGAGGUGGUUCCUCUAGUUCUUCAUGCUUUGAUUCUUGAGCCCUUUUUAUUUUUCAUUUGGAUACAUACAAAAGCAUCAAUCGAAAAUAGAAAGGAUUUUUUUUUCAUGUUCUGUCGUUUUUUUUAAAAUAUUGUAUACGUGAAUAGAAACAAAAUACAAUACUUUACCCAUUUUUGGUGGCCGAAAAUGUUGGAAACCGAGAGGUUCCUUCGCGUUUUGUCGGCUCGCGGGAUCUUUUUUUGUUUUUGAGUGUAUAGACUCAAGAUUUGGGUCAGAGAAGAAAGAAGGGUUAAAAAGGGUUCGGUUUCAUACCGCCGGCCACCGCAUACGGUGGUCGUCGGCGACAGACGAACGGCGGUCCGAUCGCCGGGGAAGGAAAACCCAGAGAAACCCCACAACCCUUUCCCAUGUUUUUUUUUGUUUGCACAGCUAAAAUGAAAUUUUUUUAGAGAUUUUUGGGUUUAAAUACCCAAGUAAAACGGCACCGUUUUAGCUCUUCCUUUAAGUGACCAAAACGACGCCGUAUGAAGGCUACCCGUGCGACCCGACUCGAUUGAUGAAGGAUCCGCUUAUUUCUCUUACUUUUAGGUUAUUUGUGAUUCAAGUCCUCCCAUUUCUAAGAGCUUUAAUAUAGUCCUGCUUUAUUAUUUCUUUCUUUUUACAUUUGCCCAUGAACUUUUAUCUUUGUUUUCAUUCUGGUCCUUCAUUCACAUGGUGAUUCUAGAAACGGUGCGUUUGGAGGGCGAAAGGAACAAUUUACUAAUAAGUUCCUAUGAGAUUUCACACCUUCCUAAUCGAUCCUUUAUUAUUAUUUUAAUAUACCCUUUUAAUUCGGUUUGGGCUUAUAUUUGAGUCCCUUAAUCAAGCCAACUCUUUUACUUAUUUAUCAAUGACUAUAUUAAUUUGUUUUUUACCGAG